CCUACGGGAGGCUGCAGUGGGGAAUAUUGGACAAUGGGGGAAACCCUGAUCCAGCGACGCCGCGUGAGUGAAGAAGUAUUUCGGUACGUAAAGCUCUAUCAGCAGGAAAGAAAAUGACGGUACCUGACUAAGAAGCCCCGGCUAACUACGUGCCAGCAGCCGCGGUAAUACGUAGGGGGCAAGCGUUAUCCGGAUUUACUGGGUGUAAAGGGAGCGUAGACGGCAGCGCAAGUCAAGGGUGAAAUCCCCGCGCUCAACGUGGGAACUGCCUUUGAAACUGGCAAACUGGAGUGUGUGAGAGGAUAGUGGAAUUCAAGGUGUAGGAGUGAAAUCCGUAGAUAUCUGGAGGAACAUCAGUGGCGAAGGCGACUAUCUGGCACAUAACUGACGCUGAGGAGCGAAAGCGUGGGUAGCAAACAGGAUUAGAUACCCCUGUAGUC
rnacentral:rRNA from 1 species